GUCAAGGUCACCCCAUUUGGAAGCUACCUAGACCCCAGUAGCGUGACCUGACCUGUGACACUUCUGUUCCUGUGUCCUUCCUCCUCUGUUUGUCCACGGUGAGUGUGGUUUCUCCGUCUAAUGAGUGCACUCCCACCACACUGGGAGCUUCUGGUACACAGGAGUCCUCUUUACUUCCUGUGUUGGGCCCAGGGACGGCCCAAGAAAAUGCCCAGUACAGGAAUGCUUCCACCGGGGGUCACAGGGAUGACUCUGCUGCCCUGGGGGCUGAGUUGGCCACCUGUCCAGUGCCACCAAGUUAACAGGUAAAGCCGCAUGUGGGCAGUGGCUGGGAAUCAACCCUGAUUAUCGAGCACAAGAGGCCAGAUGGGCCACAUGAAGAGUGCCCACGACCCAGAGGAGCUCCUGGUGGCACCUGUGCUACACGGUUCCCAGUGGAAGACGCCACAACCCCAUUCAGGCGGGACCUCCGAACCCAAGCGCCUCAGAGCGAUGGUCUGACUCACACCACCAGUAAAAGAACUUCCAACAAGCUGAGCUUGAGGAAAAAGGGACUUGUGGUAAAUCGCAUUUUCCAAAAAUGGGCACCUUACCACCCUCCCGUCAAGAAGUGUUGCUAUGGUUUGAAUGUGUCCCCCAAAGUUCACGCACUGAAAACUUAAACACCAAUGCAAUUGUGUUGAAGGGUGGGACCUUUCAACGCAACUGCAAGGGUGAUUGGGUGAGGAAGGCUCUGCCCUCACACAUGCAUGGAUGUCAUGGCUGAGGGAGUGGGUUCCUGAUGAGGGAAUGGGUACAGCCCCUCCCUCUGCCUCACAUGUGCUCUGUCCUUCUGACACGGGGUCAUGGAGGAAGAAGGCUCUUGAAAGAUGCCGGCCCCUGGACCUUGGACUUCCCAGCCUCCAGAACUGUAAGAAAUCAAUCUCUGUUC